rnacentral:rRNA from 1 species
UAGGGAAUCUUCCGCAAUGGACGCAAGUCUGACGGAGCAACGCCGCGUGAGUGAAGAAGGAUUUCGGUUCGUAAAACUCUGUUGUUAGAGAAGAACAGCGCAUAGAGUAACUGUUAUGCGUGUGACGGUAUCUAACCAGAAAGCCACGGCUAACUACGUGCCAGCAGCCGCGGUAAUACGUAGGUGGCAAGCGUUGUCCGGAUUUAUUGGGCGUAAAGCGAGCGCAGGCGGUCAAUUAAGUCUGAUGUGAAAGCCCCCGGCUCAACCGGGGAGGGUCAUUGGAAACUGGUUUACUUGAGUGCAGAAGAGGAGAGUGGAAUUCCAUGUGUAACGGUGAAAUGCGUAGAUAUAUGGAGGAACACCAGUGGCGAAGGCGACUCUCUGGUCUGUAACUGACGCUGAGGCUCGAAAGCGUGGGUAGCAAACAGG